GUCCUCGAACAAGGCAAGUAUCAAGAACAGGGAAAAGGUUUGAAAGUGUGGGAACUCUCCUAAUCCUCAAUAACCAUACCUUAACCUCAAAUCUCUGAACCAUAUAAGCAACCGACUAGGACCACACACUUUUACUAGAACUUUCGCUGAUCACUGUUCAAAGAUCGGCUCCAUACUCUAUAUCUCAAUCCUGAAAAGGCACACUUUCUAGACAGAACUCACAUACAUCAUUCAGGGUAGACGGGCUAAGUAUGAACAUGCUAAUUUAUAGUGAGUCAAAAAAGUGUUUAGGGUUUACCAAAUUUUUUGUAGUGAAUGCAGGAUAUCGCGCAAAAUAGCAAGAGAGGAUGGAUCCAUUGACGUCCACAACCCC
rnacentral:lncRNA from 1 species